rnacentral:rRNA from 1 species
UGGAGAGUUUGAUCCUGGCUCAGAACGAACGCUGGCGGCGUGCCUAACACAUGCAAGUCGAACGGUAACAGGACUUUGGUCGCUGACGAGUGGCGCACGGGUGAGUAACGCGUGGGUUACCUGCCCAUAAGUGGGGAACAACUUGGAGAAAUCCAAGCUAAUACCGCAUAAUACCUUCGGGUUAAAGAGGGGGAUCUUCGGACCUCUCGCUUAUGGAUGGUCCCGCGUCUGAUUAGCUAGUUGGUAGGGUAAUGGCCUACCAAGGCAAUGAUCAGUAGCUGGUCUGAGAGGAUGAUCAGUCACACUGGAACUGAGACACGGUCCAGACUCCUACGGGAGGCAGCAGUGGGGAAUUUUGCACAAUGGGCGAAAGCCUGAUGCAGCGACGCCGCGUGCGGGAAGAAGGCCUUCGGGUUGUAAACCGCUUUCAACAGGGAAGAAGGAAUGAGAGCUAAUACCUCUCUGCCUUGACGGUACCUGUAGAAGAAGCACCGGCUAAUUUCGUGCCAGCAGCCGCGGUAAUACGAAAGGUGCAAGCGUUGUUCGGAUUUACUGGGCGUAAAGAGAUCGUAGGUGGCUUGUUAAGUCGGAUGUGAAAUCCCGGGGCUCAACCCCGGAACUGCAUCCGAUACUGGCAGGCUUGAGUUUGGGAGGGGUAAGCGGAAUUCCGUGUGUAGCAGUGAAAUGCGUAGAUAUACGGAGGAACACCUGAGGCGAAGGCGGCUUACUGGACCAAUACUGACACUGAGGAUCGAAAGCGUGGGUAGCAAACAGGAUUAGAUACCCUGGUAGUCCACGCCCUAAACGAUGUCAACUAGCCGUUGCGGGUAUCGACCCCUGCAGUGGCGCAGCUAACGCGAUAAGUUGACCGCCUGGGGAGUACGGUCGCAAGAUUAAAACUCAAAGGAAUUGACGGGGGCCCGCACAAGCGGUGGAGCAUGUGG